AUUAAAUUCUAAAGGUGAUUUACAAGUUCAAGGAGAUAAUAGCAACAUUGGAUAGUGAAUCGGGGAUAAGGAAAUUGCAAAAUUGGAGCAAUUAAGAGUAGAAAUUCCUCCGAGAAAAUUAAGGUUUAUCAUAUUAAUUGUGGAAGUUCUUGGCUGGACUGAGCUCUUGAACGACGUAAGGUACAGAUGCUCACGUUGGUAACCCGCCAGCUUAGGAGUCCUAUUCAGCUAUCUUGGAGAGCUCCCUUGUUCCGGAGCCUUGAUUUUGGUACAGAAUCUCUUGUGGUGUAUAUGUAUUUUAUCCAGGGGUACGGCGGGGCCCUGUCCCGUCAUAUGAUAAUGUUGUUACUCUUAGAGGUCUGUAGACAUAUGUGUGGGUUGUGUAUCGAUGUUGUUCAGUUGUGUCUAUAUGGCUUAUGUUUUGGGACGUUCCCAUUCGUAGUGGCAGCCUUGUCGGCUUGCGUAGAUAUAUAUAUGUUUUGAGAAGUAAUGUGUUACGAUAGCCUUGUCGGCUCGUUUAUGGCGGGGAUGUUCCCUUAUAUAUUAUGAAAUCCUUGUCGGCUUAUGUACUAUAA